rnacentral:tRNA from 1 species
GGAGGUGUGGUGUACCGGUGUGCACGCCGCGCUGUGGCCGCGGAGGACCGGGUUCAAGUCCCGGCAUUUCCCCCA